GCGAUCCAAAAUUUAAUUUAAAAGAACACAUGGUAGCUAGGAAAAGGUUCAGACCUUUGUACAAAAUUUUUGUACAGUGGAACCUCUAGGUUUUCCGAGUAGCAACCAACACCUCAAAAGUUGUCGGUAUAUGUUUAAUUGUUGCGCUUAAUUAAUUGUACUUAAAGUUGUAAUUCUUCAAAUCUAUAGUGAUUGCCCAACGAAAGCGAUCGACGAUCGCAGACCUUGGAGUAGGAGUCGCCACAUGCUCCGAAGUAAAUAAAAGUAUUAGCGCUUGUUUUGCUUCCGCUUUAUUUCGUAUUUCCGCUGCGUUACUCUGUGCUUUCCUAAACGAGUGUACAUCUCGAUCCUACAGUUAACAGCCUUUUUGAUCUUGGUCUUUGAGCAUGUGUUGUCUCCAAACCAUAAUAAAUGUUCUUAAACCCAAGAUUAAAUCUCUGAUAGUGCUGUUAUACAGAUUUGAAGUCCUGAUAUUUGGCAGAAAGUUAUAUUACUACAAACUCUUUUUCAUUAUACCAUUUCUUUGAUAGUUGACUGUACAGUGUAGUUUUUUACAUGCCACUCUAUAUGUAAGCAUUCUCCCAUCACUUGUUUUUGCUUGCCCAUUCAAUCUUGUGCCUUUCUGAAUUUAUUAUCAGUUAUUUGAUUACUUUACACGAGGCAAAAUGUGGCAAUUGCUCAUGACUUGUGUGUUCUUAUUGUGUACCUUCUGAGCAGGAGAUUUUGACAGAUCUACAUAUAAUGAUAGUGAUCUUCGGUCUGCAUACCAUAUUCGUGAAUAUGAUGUAAUGUAGUGCAAGCAAAUUAGGGACCCAGUAGAUAUUUUCAUAUCACAUGACUGGCCUGUUGGUAUCUAUGAAUAUGGAAAUCUGUAGUCUUGUUCAAGAUAAACCAUUUUCUAAAGAAGAGGUAUAUUAUAAUUAUAGUUUUCAUGCAUAUUUUUUCUAUGAUUUGCUAAUCUAUAAAUGAAGAUAGCUUGUACAUAUCUUGGCAUCUGGUCAUUUGUAUUAGUUAGUGCUUCUAUGUAACAUAUAUAAAUUGCUUUCUGGUUGGUUGCCAUCUAAAGAUAGUGCCAUAUGCCUAUGGUUCGUACUGGAAGUCAAAAUCAGGACCAUUAAAACUCAUUUCAGUGGUUCAACUGCAAUCAUCUAGAUUAGGCUGAAUUAAAGUUCCAGUCAGAUAUUCAUAUCUGCAUAUUAUUUAUCAUCAAAAUUAUUUUUGAAAAAAAUCUAUAUAAAGCACACUUCCCAGAAUUGUAAUUUUUUCAAAAAAUUCUCUCUCAGGAAGGAUGUUUCCUGCAAGAAUCCAACUAUUAUCCAAGAAUCAUCUUACAUGCAUUCUAUCUACCACAUCAAAGCAUUUUCAGCUAACAUACACUAGAUCCAGAAUCGAACUCUUGGAAGUAUGCCUGCUGCAGAGCUUCUGAGCCAACUGAAACCUCAGUAUUGGUUUUCAUCUCAUCUUCACUUCAAAUUUUCAGCUGUUAGAAACAAGGAAGAUGGAUGGUUCUGUAACAAAGUUCCUAACUCUUGACAAAUGCCUUCCUGGUCGGAGUUUUUUACAGGUUGAAAUUUCAAUGGUUAUUUCACCAUGUUAAUGUAUGGCAUAUCAAAACAAUUGAAGAACUAAGGGCAUCUCCAAUGAAAAAACCUCAAAAGUAAAAAAUAUGAUAUUAUUAUUGCCACAGCAAAAAUAAAAAUUCUCCUAAGUUUAUUUCUA